rnacentral:rRNA from 1 species
AGCUCGCGGCCUAUCAGCUUGUUGGUGGGGUGAUGGCCUACCAAGGCGACGACGGGUAGCCGGCCUGAGAGGGUGUCCGGCCACACUGGGACUGAGAUACGGCCCAGACUCCUACGGGAGGCAGCAGUGGGGAAUAUUGCACAAUGGGCGCAAGCCUGAUGCAGCGACGCCGCGUGAGGGAUGACGGCCUUCGGGUUGUAAACCUCUUUCAGCAUGGACGAAGCGCAAGUGACGGUAGAUGCAGAAGAAGCACCGGCCAACUACGUGCCAGCAGCCGCGGUAAUACGUAGGGUGCGAGCGUUGUCCGGAAUUACUGGGCGUAAAGAGCUCGUAGGUGGUUUGUCGCGUUGUUCGUGAAAACUCACAGCUCAACUGUGGGCGUGCGGGCGAUACGGGCAGACUGGAGUACUGCAGGGGAGACUGGAAUUCCUGGUGUAGCGGUGGAAUGCGCAGAUAUCAGGAGGAACCCCCCGCCGCGCCCCGCGCCCGGC